GACGAACGCUGGCGGCGUGCUUAACACAUGCAAGUCGAACGGAAAGGCCCCUUUGGGGGUACUCGAGUGGCGAACGGGUGAGUAACACGUGAGUAACCUGCCCUUGACUUCGGGAUAACUUCAGGAAACUGGGGCUAAUACCGGAUAGGAAUCCUUGCUGCAUGGUGGGGGUUGGAAAGCUUCGGCGGUUUUGGAUGGACUCGCGGCUUAUCAGCUUGUUGGUGGGGUAGUGGCUUACCAAGGCUUUGACGGGUAGCCGGCCUGAGAGGGCGUCCGGCCACAUUGGGACUGAGAUACGGCCCAGACUCCUACGGGAGGCAGCAGUGGGGAAUAUUGCACAAUGGGCGGAAGCCUGAUGCAGCAACGCCGCGGGCGGGAUGACGGCCUUCGGGUUGUAAACCGCUUUCAGCAGGGGCGAAGCUUGUGGUGACGGUACCUGCAGAAGAAGCACCGGCUAACUACGUG
rnacentral:rRNA from 1 species